GACGAACGCUGGCGGCGUGCUUAACACAUGCAAGUCGAACGGAAAGGCCCUGCUUUUGUGGGGUGCUCGAGUGGCGAACGGGUGAGUAACACGUGAGUAACCUGCCCUUGACUUUGGGAUAACUUCAGGAAACUGGGGCUAAUACCGGAUAGGAGCUCCUGCUGCAUGGUGGGGGUUGGAAAGUUUCGGCGGUUGGGGAUGGACUCGCGGCUUAUCAGCUUGUUGGUGGGGUAGUGGCUUACCAAGGCUUUGACGGGUAGCCGGCCUGAGAGGGUGACCGGCCACAUUGGGACUGAGAUACGGCCCAGACUCCUACGGGAGGCAGCAGUGGGGAAUAUUGCACAAUGGGCGGAAGCCUGAUGCAGCAACGCCGCGUGCGGGAUGACGGCCUUCGGGUUGUAAACCGCUUUCGCCUGUGACGAAGCGUGAGUGACGGUAAUGGGUAAAGAAGCACCGGCUAACUACGUGCCAGCAGCCGCGGUGAUACGUAGGGUGCGAGCGUUGUCCGGAUUUAUUGGGCGUAAAGGGCUCGUAGGUGGUUGAUCGCGUCGGAAGUGUAAUCUUGGGGCUUAACCCUGAGCGUGCUUUCGAUACGGGUUGACUUGAGGAAGGUAGGGGAGAAUGGAAUUCCUGGUGGAGCGGUGGAAUGCGCAGAUAUCAGGAGGAACACCAGUGGCGAAGGCGGUUCUCUGGGCCUUUCCUGACGCUGAGGAGCGAAAGCGUGGGGAGCGAACAGGCUUAGAUACCCUGGUAGUCCACGCUGUAAACGGUGGGUACUAGGUGUGGGGUCCAUUCCACGGGUUCCGUGCCGUAGCUAACGCUUUAAGUACCCCGCCUGGGGAGUACGGCCGCAAGGCUAAAACUCAAAGGAAUUGACGGGGCCCCGCACAAGCGGCGGAGCAUGCGGAUUAAUUCGAUGCAACGCGUAGAACCUUACCUGGGUUUGACAUGGAUCGGGAGUGCUCAGAGAUGGGUGUGCCUCUUUUGGGGUCGGUUCACAGGUGGUGCAUGCCUGUCGUCAGCUCGUGUCGUGAGAUGUUGGGUUAAGUCCCGCAACGAGCGCAACCCUUGUUCACUGUUGCCAGCACGUUAUGGUGGGGACUCAGUGGAGACCGCCGGGGUCAACUCGGAGGAAGGUGGGGAUGACGUCAAGUCCUCAUGCCCCUUAUGUCCAGGGCUUCACGCAUGCUACAAUGGCUGGUACAGAGAGUGGCGAGCCUGUGAGGGUGAGCGAAUCUCGGAAAGCCGGUCUCAGUUCGGGUUGGGGUCUGCAACUCGACCUCAUGAAGUCGGAGUCGCUAGUAAUCGCAGAUCAGCAACGCUGCGGUGAAUACGUUCCCGGG
rnacentral:rRNA from 1 species